rnacentral:lncRNA from 1 species
GCUUAAUUAUUCAUCAUGAAAUUGAAUUUCAGGGCCUGUAAUCAUGUAACUGUUCGAAAUGGAAUUUGUCACUGAAACACAGUGAGAGGAAAUAGAGGAUUAUUUAACAUCUACUCAUCUCACUUCAAGAUCAGUUUAAAAUUGGAUGUGUUUCGUGAUUUCACGAUGGCAAUCACACGAGGGCCGUAUAUAAGAAAGCAAAAUGAUUUGAUAAAACUGGAGCCUUAGAAAAAUCAUCGAGCAGGACAUAUUGGAGGACAAAAUGUCACCUGUAGCAAGACAAAUAAUGAAGGAAAUGAAGCAGUGUAUCAAAGAUGGCAAUACAGAUGAAAGAAAAGGAACCAAAAAGGAAGUGCACUCUAGAGGACUCAGCCGGACAAGAAGAGGAGCCAAGUGUCUGUUGUCAGGUUAUUUCAUGAAGGUACAAGAUGCCACGUGGAGAUCAAGCUUAGAUUUUGUAACUAGCGGCCCAUUAAUUUUCUAAAGUAAAGAGCUUUUGGAAAAAUUCAGAUCAGAAAGCAUGUCUGGGGUCCGAGGCCAAGGUGGGGACCCGCUACUCUAAUUACACGUCUCUUCCCUGACAUCCAUCUAUGGGAAGAGCAGAGUUUUCAAACUAGACUGCAAAUAUAUUCACCUCGCCAGAUGCAUGGAUUGUUGCAUGCUUCCUCAGAAACCCAGUCACUAUCAGAAUUGGGAGUCCAGGCUUGCCUCCAGAAGGAGAAAUGGAGAGGAAGCCUUGGCUCACCACGGCAAUGCACGAGACAAGCGGUGCAAGAGAUUGUGAAAAGUUCUUACUUUUGGAACACAUUAAUGUUACCUACUGCUAAAAGAAUCUAAUAGAUAUUAAGCCAUUACCAGUUGGAUUAGCUCUUUCAACCUCAUAGCAAAUGAUGGGAUGGAAAGAGAAACAAGUAUUCUCUUCUGUAUUCUUCCUAUUGUGGAGGGAAAUGGAGACAUCUUUGCUUAUGGGAAAGGAAGGUGGAGCUAAGAAGAAAAGAUCUCCUCCAUCCCCCCCCAAAUCACUAAAGAAAACCGGAUUUUACUAUUAUAUAAAUGCAACUAACAUUCUAUUAAAUAUGUCGCUUAAUCUAGAAUGCCAAUAAAGUCAUG